rnacentral:rRNA from 1 species
GGACGAACGCUGGCGGCGUGCUUAACACAUGCAAGUCGAACGGAAAGGCCCUGCUUUGGUGGGGUGCUCGAGUGGCGAACGGGUGAGUAACACGUGAGUAACCUGCCCUUGACUUUGGGAUAACUUCAGGAAACUGGGGCUAAUACCGGAUAGGAGCUCCUGCUGCAUGGUGGGGGUUGGAAAGUUUCGGCGGUUGGGGAUGGACUCGCGGCUUAUCAGCUUGUUGGUGGGGUAGUGGCUUACCAAGGCUUUGACGGGUAGCCGGCCUGAGAGGGUGACCGGCCACAUUGGGACUGAGAUACGGCCCAGACUCCUACGGGAGGCAGCAGUGGGGAAUAUUGCACAAUGGGCGGAAGCCUGAUGCAGCAACGCCGCGUGCGGGAUGACGGCCUUCGGGUUGUAAACCGCUUUCGCCUGUGACGAAGCGUGAGUGACGGUAAUGGGUAAAGAAGCACCGGCUAACUACGUG